UGGGCAACGGAAACCUGCCCUGUAAUUAAUGGAUGAAUGAGAAACUAUUUUGAUUGUAUCAUGUUGUCCUAAGAAAGGCUUUGUGCUAGAAGUCAGCAUGUGUUUUAGUUUGCAAUGUGUCAGUAACGGCUGUGAAACUUUGAGUUAGGUAAUUGGUUGCUGGGGUGACCAACUUAUUCCCAGUUGCCUGGGACUUUCCCAGUUGUAGCACUGAAAGUGCUGCAUCCCAGGAAACCUCUUACUUAGCUCAGGGCAAACCACCAUAUUGGUUGGUAUCUCUGAACCUUAAUUUCCUCAUUUGUAAAAUGGGAUAACUGAAUUAAAUAAUCUGUAAAAUCCCAGUCGACUCUAAAAUUCUAGAGACAAACAAAUUAUACAUGCAAAAAGGUGGCUCCUUGCAUAACACAAUUUUU
rnacentral:lncRNA from 10 species